CAGACUCAUAUGAGACUUGUCUUAUUUUGCAGCGGGUAGACUGCCAUGUUGUAUCAGUUCCAGAACUGGAAUUUUCCUCAGACUUCAUCCUGACAAUCACAAAGACUUCAGUGUGUACGGCAAUUGCUGGAUAUUUUGAUAUAUAUUUUGAGAAGAAUUGCAACAAAGAAGUAUUAUUCUCAACUGGUCCCUGUUGUACCAAAACACACUGGAAACAGACAGUAUUUUUUCUAGAGAACCCGAUUUCUGUGAAAGAAGGUGAAGAACUGAAAGGAAAGAUAACAAUCCACAAAAAUAGAAAGGAUCCACGCUCUCUCAUUGUAAUACUUUCAAUUAAAAGUGUGAAACAGACAUAUAAUCUUCAGUAACAGCUGUUUCAUGCCAGCUUUGAGAUACGCACUUCUAAAAAUGUACCUCGUGUAACUAUUUGCAGGCAGAUGCAUCUGAAUUAAAAUUAGGAUAGUUUGGUUCAACUGCAGACUGCUUCUUCUGGAACGAAAAAUGUUGGCAGGCCUGCAGUCUCUGGCAGUUUUGCAAACCAUUCCGUAGAAUCUAAGAAAAAAAUUCUGAUAUGAUGAAUCCAUGGGGAAGGCUGCAGCACUGUUUGUGAAUAAACCCACAACCCAGGACUUCUGAGUUAUGGUACAUAGUAAUGCACUAGAAAUUAAGUCUGCUUAAUUCUAUAUGUAGUAAUGGCGCAUCUUUAAAAAUAUUGAUAAAGAAUUAUAUCACCUUGGAUAAUUCAGUACUUAGCAACACCAGUGGAAAUGGGGUGGGUGAUUUUUGUCUCAGUAUUUUUAUUAACACAAUUAAAAUAAACUCAUUUGUAUUUGA